CGGUAGAUUCUUAAUACAAAAAUCAUUCACGCACUCAUGAAAUUAUUUCGUGGUUUGGUAGCGUUAUCAACAAGUAUAAAUGUACACGAACGACAGUUUUUCCUAAAAUACUUAUAACGUGACAAAUUAUAGAGGGUAGAUCUAUCGUCAUUUCGGACGACUACAAUCUCAAGUUGUCAAUCAGAAGAAAUUAUUAUUUCAUAUUCCUGGAAAUGAACACAAGACUUCGCUGCUUUAAAAACUGAAUAUAUCACCUAUAUAAGCCGAUAAUAAGAAUGGAAUUUGUCCGAUAUGGCUCGGAUCACAUCACACUAUGGGACGGAAUGCAGGGCAGAUAAGUGGAGGCACCAGUUGCGUCUCUACCCACCCUUUCGGGAAUAAAGGUGUGAGUGUGUAUGUCUGUAAUUAGAAUCAAACAAGGCUACCGUCACUCACGAUUACAAAGGAUAAAUUACAAGCAAAAACUUAUAAUGAAAGAGCGCCGAAAGGGAUGAAUUAGGGAAGGUAAUGAAAUAAUACUCGCAACGAAAGUCAUUUGCCGUCGAGUUCUUUAGCUUCAUUACUGAUCCGGCUCACUUCACCUAUACAUAGUUGAAAAUUCAGUAGUAAGUUCACUAAGAUUCGCCGCACGUCGCAAUAAAAUGUUUUUAAACAAAUAAGUUCAGUCUGGGUUUCUAAGUGAUACAAUAAAGAGUAUUCAAUAGCAUAAUAGAAA
rnacentral:lncRNA from 1 species